rnacentral:rRNA from 1 species
AGUGAACGCUGGCGGUAGGCCUAACACAUGCAAGUCGAACGGCAGCACAGUAAGAGCUUGCUCUUACGGGUGGCGAGUGGCGGACGGGUGAGGAAUACAUCGGAAUCUACUUUUUCUUGGGGGAUAACGUAGGGAAACUUACGCUAAUACCGCAUACGACCUACGGGUGAAAGCAGGGGAUCUUCGGACCUUGCGCGAUUGAAUGAGCCGAUGUCGGAUUAGCUAGUUGGCGGGGUAAAGGCCCACCAAGGCGACGAUCCGUAGCUGGUCUGAGAGGAUGAUCAGCCACACUGGAACUGAGACACGGUCCAGACUACUACGGGAGGCAGCAGUGGGGAAUAUUGGACAAUGGGCGCAAGCCUGAUCCAGCCAUACCGAGUGGGUGAAGAAGGCCUUCGGGUUGUAAAGCCCUUUUGUUGGGAAAGAAAAGCAGCAGGUUAAUACCCCGCUGUUCUGACGGUACCCAAAGAAUAAGCACCGGAUAACUUCGUG